rnacentral:rRNA from 1 species
UACGAAGGUCCCAAGCGUUGUUCGGAAUCACUGGGCGUAAAGAGAGCGUAGGCGGCGUGGUAAGUCAGAUGUGAAAUCCCGGGGCUCAACCCCGGAACUGCAUCCGAUACUGCCAUGCUUGAGGGUUGGAGAGGUAGCUGGAAUUCUCGGUGUAGCAGUGAAAUGCGUGGAUAUCGAGAGGAACACUCGUGGCGAAGGCGAGCUACUGGACAACAUCUGACGCUGAGGCUCGAAGGCUAGGGGAGCAAAAGGG